rnacentral:piRNA from 2 species
UGAGCAUGUUGAUCUCUUUGUGCCC